UGCUAGCUUCGGCAGCAAUGUACAAAAAUUGGGACGAUACAGAGGUUAGUGUGGCCCCUGUGCAAGGACGACAUGCAAAUUUGUGAAGCGUUCCACGUUUUU